AUUGAGCGCUGGCGGCAUGCCUUACACAUGCAAGUCGAACGGCAGCACGGGGCAACCUGGUGGCGAGUGGCGAACGGGUGAGUAAUGCAUCGGAACGUACCUUUCAGUGGGGGAUAACGUAGCGAAAGUUACGCUAAUACCGCAUAUUCUGUGAGCAAGAAAGCAGGGGAUCGCAAGACCUUGCGCUGAUUGAGCGGCCGAUGUCAGAUUAGCUAGUUGGUGAGGUAAAGGCUCACCAAGGCGACGAUCUGUAGCGGGUCUGAGAGGAUGAUCCGCCACACUGGAACUGAGACACGGUCCAGACUCCUACGGGAGGCAGCAGUGGGGAAUUUUGGACAAUGGGGGCAACCCUGAUCCAGCCAUGCCGCGUGAGUGAAGAAGGCCUUCGGGUUGUAAAGCUCUUUCGGCCGGGAAGAAAUCGCACGGGCUAAUACCCUGUGUGGAUGACGGUACCGGAAUAAGAAGCACCGGCUAACUACGUGCCAGCAGCCGCUGUAACAC
rnacentral:rRNA from 1 species